rnacentral:rRNA from 1 species
GCAGGCUUAACACAUGCAAGUCGAGGGGCAGCAUGUCCAGCAAUGGAUGAUGGCGACCGGCGGAAGGGUGCGUAACGCGUGAGCAACAUGCCCUAUACAGGGAGAUACACCAGGGAAACUUGGUCUAAUAUCCCAUAGCAUUCAUUGAAGGCAUCUUUAAUGAAUUAAAGCUUCGGUGGUAUAGGAUUGGCUCGCGUGACAUUAGCCAGAUGGUGAGGUAACGGCUCACCAUAGCAAUGAUGUCUAGGGGUUUUGAGAGGAAGGCCCCCCACACUGGGACUGAGACACGGCCCAGACUCCUACGGGAGGCAGCAGUGAGGAAUAUUGGACAAUGGAUGGAAAUCUGAUCCAGCCAUGCCGCGUGCAGGAAGACGGCCUUAUGGGUUGUAAACUGCUUUUAUACGGGAGCAAUAAGGGUUACGAGUAAUCCGAUGAGAGUACUGUAUGAAUAAGGAUCGGCUAACUCCGUGCCAGCAGCCGCGGUAAUACGGAGGAUCCGAGCGUUAUCCGGAAUUAUUGGGUUUAAAGGGUGCGUAGGCGGCCAUUUAAGUCAGCGGUGAAAUUUUGCAGCUUAACUGUAACAGUGCCGUUGAUACUGUUUGGCUAGGAUUUGGUUGUAGUGUGCGGAAUGUGUGGUGUAGCGGUGAAAUGCUUAGAUAUCACACAGAACACCGAUUGCGAAGGCAGCACACUAAGUCAUUAUUGACGCUGAGGCACGAAAGUGUGGGGAUCAAACAGGAUUAGAUACCCUGGUAGUCCACACUGUAAACGAUGAUAACUCGCUGUCGGCGAUACACAGUCGGUGGCCAAGCGAAAGC